CGAGCAAACAUGCUGCUGCUGGCAGCCCUCGUGGCCACAGCCGCUUGGUCCUAUGGAUAUGCACAAGAAAUUCCUGUUCAGAGCCCUAUAUCCAUCACCAAGUUCCAAAGAAGUGCACGGAUGACAUGUGAAAUUCAAUCACUAGAGGCAGGUUUUGACAGCACCGUCAUACACUGGUAUCAACAGAAGGAGGGUAAAGCUCCAGAGAGGCUUCUCUUCUUUUCAGGAGGGCAGACUGUAGUUGAAAGUGGCUUUCAAGCAAACAGGUACAUGGCUGAAAAGGUUUCUAGCCAGAACCGGUGUGUUCUUACCAUAAAGGAUGUCAUUCCGGAAGAUGCUGCUACUUACUACUGUGCCUACUGGAACCCUCACU